CUUGGUUUGUCCUUGUCAAUGUUCAUGCUCCUCUUCCCUGUUUGAUCCUGGUUUGUGUCGAGGUAUGCAGCUCACGAGGGAUUAUUGUGGCUCCCUCCUGUUCUUCUUACUGUUUAGGUGGAGUGAAGUGAACUGAAAGUCAACUGCUCAAAUUCGACAGCAGGAAAAAAAACCAAAACAAAAUAAAUAGGAGACUCCAGACAGCCAGAAACAGGAGCUGCCAACAUAUUACACCGGGCUGAGUGUUACUACUAUCCCUACUAACCAAACAUCGACUGCAGCACAUAUUCAAAUCAGCUGGCUCGCUCACUUUCUUUGCAUUUUUUAUGGUUCAAUCCCCCUCCAUCGCAUAAACACAAUAAAAAGUUACACUCUUAUAUACACAUCAUCAUCACUUGGCCUCAUCUAAAGUAGGAGUUUGCCGCGAGUAAACAAUGGAGGCUGUGACAAUAAUGUCUGCUGCUAACAACAGCGAGAUCUGCAUCACAACAAAGACUAAGUAAAUGUUUUGGCACAUUAACUGCUGAUAUGAGGCUCUCAUAAGGACGGGUGUCAUCGCUUGCUUUUUGUUGCCUCGUCAGUGCUACAGGGAAAAGAUAUUACCGUUGCAACGGAAGAGAUCCCAAGUAAUCAGUCAACAUAUUAUGACAUGUCACUGCAAGCUCACACAUCAUUGUUUUCAUUAGUUUUACUUACUUAAUGCCAUCGUCAUUGUCCAGACAGAUGGUGAAGCAGUCAGUUGCAGUGGCAGCCAUUAUAAAAGUU